rnacentral:rRNA from 1 species
AUGAACGCUGGCGGCGUGCCUAAUACAUGCAAGUAGAACGCUGAAGGAAGGAGCUUGCUCUUUCCGGAUGAGUUGCGAACGGGUGAGUAACGCGUAGGUAACCUGCCUGGUAGCGGGGGAUAACUAUUGGAAACGAUAGCUAAUACCGCAUAACAGUAGAUGUUGCAUGAUAUCUACUUAAAAGGUGCAAUUGCACCACUACCAGAUGGACCUGCGUUGUAUUAGCUAGUUGGUGAGGUAACGGCUCACCAAGGCGACGAUACAUAGCCGACCUGAGAGGGUGAUCGGCCACACUGGGACUGAGACACGGCCCAGACUCCUACGGGAGGCAGCAGUAGGGAAUCUUCGGCAAUGGACGGAAGUCUGACCGAGCAACGCCGCGUGAGUGAAGAAGGUUUUCGGAUCGUAAAGCUCUGUUGUAAGAGAAGAACGAGUGUGAGAGUGGAAAGUUCACACUGUGACGGUAUCUUACCAGAAAGAGACGGCUAACUACGUG